rnacentral:rRNA from 2 species
GGGCUUGACAUCCCACGAACCUGCCCGAAAGGGUAGGGUGCCCGCAAGGGAGCGUGGAGACAGGUGGUACAUGGCUGUCGUCAGCUCGUGUCGUGAGAUGUUGGGUUAAGUCCCGCAACGAGCGCAACCCUCACCCCUUGUUGCCACCGGGUCAUGCCGAGCACUCUAGGGGAACUGCCAGCGUCAAGCUGGAGGAAGGCGGGGAUGACGUCAAGUCAUCAUGCCCCUUACGCCCUGGGCAACACACGUGCUACAAUGGUCGGUACAAAGGGAUGCCAGCCCGCGAGGGGGAGCCAAUCCCACAAAACCGGUCUUAGUUCGGAUUGCAGUCUGCAACUCGACUGCAUGAAGGAGGAAUCGCUAGUAAUCGCGCAUCAGCACGGCGCGGUGAAUACGUUCCCGGGCCUUGUACACACCGCCCGUCACACCACGAAAGCCGGCUGUACUCGAAGUCGCUGAG